CAAAAUGAACAAAAAAACUUCCUCUAUAUUCUAAAGUUACCGCUUAUAAAAACCUUUGGUGUAAAUAGCAGCGAAAUUAUGGAGACGGGUUGUGUUUAGAUAGUUUAUUUCCUAUUUGCUUUGAACGGAGAAUAAUAAGUGCUGCAUUUGAUUCCAUGUAAAUAGGGCCAGGGAAUACUAAGACUACUGAAAGUGUUCUUGUCACGUCCUGAGAAUCCUUCUACAGAUGUAGGACGUCUAAAUGUAGAGCUCAAUCAACCUGAAGAUUCUCAACGGUUUUUUUCUGUUGACGGUGAAAUCGACAAAGAGUAGGCCUAUUUCCCUUGGAAGCAGAUCCGCAAAAAAUUUCAAUCGGCUUGAAAUCCAGGCCGCUCUAAAUAUGUCAAUAUUUUACCAUUUUGGCCGUGUACUUUCCAAGUUUCUUGUAAUAUGUAAUGCCAUUACCCUGUACUGUGGUGCAUCCGGCUGGAAGGCAUCUGAGAUCCUAUCUUACUGACGUGAACUUAUGCUUUGGAUGUCUUUAUGCUCCACAGCGUCUACAAUCCUGAAUGAAAUAUUUGGAGAUUGUAUAUCUUCAUCAUGUGAUGUGCAUGAAACGUACAAACUAUUAUAUCUUUCAUUAAUGAUUAGCUAGGCACUGCAUAGUAUAGUUAGAAAUUUCUUUUUUUAAAGUUGAGCAACGCUACAUUGAAUUUUUCUCUGUGAAUUUAAAUCAUAAUUAUUCCACUGGAUGUAGAGCCAAGUUACAUUUGGCCUUUCUAGUGUUUGUCGAGAAAGUUUUGCAGCGAUUCUCCAUUGCCAAAAAUGCAAAAAUGCUUCAGGUGUUAGAGGGGAAAACCUGUCACAUCUUUCUCAAGGUUCUGAAAUAAUUCUGCCGGCCGUCGUCCAUCAUCGGAUGGACACUCAUGAACAGGUUCCUCAUCUGCCUUCACAGUCCAUCAACAAUCAGGACGGCACCGAAUGGUUUCCCUGGCUGGAAGCCUGGACGCUUGAAAAUCAGCCGACUCGAAGUUCAAGCCGCUCUCAACUUGUCCGUCAACAUUCUGCCGUUUUGGCUGUGUACCCUUCCUGUGGCCUGCUAAGGCCUCUAUGCUAUUGUUUACUGGUGUUUGCGGCUGGAUGCCAACUGUGACAACAUUGUGGUAACAUGGAAUAUUAUAGCUUUUUAUGUAAUAUCUAUAAUCUAAUAUCAUGCUAAUAUGUUGUCUUUGUAAAAAGAAGAAGGUGAUGUGACAACAUUGGAACUAGUGUUUGAUAGUGUGAAUAUGCAGACGAAAAUUUUUUUCGUUGAGUGACAGGGAAAAAAUUCAAUCACCUUUAAAACAGUUCUUUGGAUUUUAAAGAUAUUUUUUUUAAAUUGCACGUUACUGCUACCUUAUUUGACUAACGGGUACGUGGUUGCACGAAAAGUAAGCACAACCAAUAAUAUUACAGAAAUGUGGUCGUCGUGUGAACUCCGUGGUGUGACUGACGAGGUUCUCCCUGCUCUCGUCUCCAUGCUAUUUGGCAGAUUUUAUGCCUGAACCAGCCAUCAUAACAACACAAUUUUCAAGAUUUACUUGUCAUGGUAUUGACCUGUCAUCAGCAGUAAUCUCAUUAUCACCGCUUGGAUAAACAGCACCCCAUUUGAUUGGAGGAACUACCGAUGUCAGUCAAGUUUCGGAUAUCUUCUUCUCCUUUCUUUAAAUCCCCUCUGUCCUCGUGUACGCCCAUGUGAGUGUGGGUGUAUUCACGAGUCCCUUUUUCCUAUCCCGCCUAGGCGGGUGGAUUGGUUGAUCCCCCAGCUGGUGGAUUCAACCUUUCAACGGAUGGAGCACCUGUGGAUGCCUGGCCGUAUUUCCCAGGCAUAAAGGUAGGGAAACUAUUUAUCUCUAUUCUUCCUUUAUUACUAUUUGCUGGUGUUUUUUUUUCAAUCGUGACAUAGUACGUAGCUAGGUUAUUCCUUCCUUAGCUAGGCGGUUGACUGGAACUGUCUUCACUUGCCGUUUUUGUUUACUCAGUCAGGAUUCAUUUUGAAAUAUUCAUUGGUAGAACGACUACAGAUCAGGCCCGUUGGUAGGAGUGUUGUAAAAAAUGUUAAAAAGUAUUCUUUUAUUUCUGAUAGUCAUGUAAUCGAUAUUUUAGCCAAUACGGAAGUUCUGUUGUAAGUGUAGGUGAUACCACAUAUACAAGCAAAGAAACAGCUCUUCAUUUAUUAAAAUGAUAUUUUCUUGGUCUUAAAAAAACGUGGCUUAAAACAAUUUUUGCUUUGAAUUUUUUUUUCGUGUUAUAUAUAAUAAGAAUCAUUCAGCUGUUAGCAU